rnacentral:rRNA from 1 species
UGGGGAAUAUUCCGCAAUGGACGAAAGUCUGACGGAGCAAUGCCGCGUGAGUGAUGAAGGCCUUUGGGUCGUAAAACUCUGUCUUUGGGGAUGAAACCAUUAUGUGUUAAUACCACAUAGUAUUGACAGUACCCGAGGAGGAAGCCCCGGCUAACUACGUGCCAGCAGCCGCGGUAAUACGUAGGGGGCGAGCGUUGUCCGGAAUCAUUGGGCGUAAAGGGCGUGUAGGCGGUUUUGUAAGUCAGAUGUGAAAACUUGAGGCUCAACUUCAAGCCUGCAUCUGAAACUACAUCACUUGAGGGCAGGAGAGGAAAGUGGAAUUCCAUGUGUAGCGGUGAAAUGCGUAGAUAUAUGGAAGAACACCAGUGGCGAAGGCGACUUUCUGGACUGAACCUGACGC